CCUAUCGGCGAUAGGGCGGUGGUCCUACCUGACCCCAUGCCGAAAUCAGGAGUGAAACGCCGUAGCGCCGAUAGGUAGUGUGGGGCUUCCCCAUGUAAGAGUAGGGAACUGCCAGGC
rnacentral:rRNA from 1 species